rnacentral:rRNA from 1 species
GACGAACGCUGGCGGCGUGCUUAACACAUGCAAGUCGAACGGAAAGGCCCUGCUUUUGUGGGGUGCUCGAGUGGCGAACGGGUGAGUAACACGUGAGUAACCUGCCCUUGACUUUGGGAUAACUUCAGGAAACUGGGGCUAAUACCGGAUAGGAGCUCCUGCUGCAUGGUGGGGGUUGGAAAGUUUCGGCGGUUGGGGAUGGACUCGCGGCUUAUCAGCUUGUUGGUGGGGUAGUGGCUUACCAAGGCUUUGACGGGUAGCCGGCCUGAGAGGGUGACCGGCAACAGUGGGAAAGAGAUAAGGCCGAGAGGAAUAAGGGAGGAAGAAGGGGGGAAGAGUGAAGAAGGGGCGGAAGCAGGAUGCAGCAAGGAGGAGUGCGGGAGGAAGGAAGGAGGGUUGGAAAAAGGGGGCGACUGGGAAGAAGGGGGAGGGAAGGGAAGGGGGAAAGAAGAAAAGGAGAACUAAGUG